AAAGGAGCAGGACAAGUAGAUGUCUAACAUUGAUUUCUUCAGUUGUGAAAAAUUACAAUGUCUCAAAAUGAUAAUCUAGUAGCAUGACAUUUUAAUCAAUCUUCCCAGUGACAGAUCAUUCCAAGAACAUUAGAAUGUGAUACGGUCAAAUUUCUUGGCCUUCUCUUCAAUCGCUGGUUGACAUGGAAACCUCACAUUUCCUCUCUCAAGGCAGCGUGCUGUGGUCGGCUGAAUCUCCUUAAAAUUUUUGCACACCAUUCGUGGGGAGCAGAUCGUCGGAUUCUCCUCCGUUUGCAUUCCACCCUAGUCUUGUUCAAGCUGGAUCAUGGCAACCAAGUCUGUUCUGCAGCUUCUCCUACCAUUCUUUCUAAGUUAGAUCCCCUUCAUCAUCAGGGUCUACGUUUAUGCCUUGGUACCUUUUGUUCAUCCCCUGUUGAAAGCCUCUAUGCUGAGGUGAAUGUUCCUUCCUUAGCUGAUCGUCAGGAUGCUCGUUGCCUUCAUUACUUUGUCUGCUUUCAUCACCUUCGUGUUCCGUCUACAUACAGGUUGGUCUCAGACGUUAGUAGAAGCCCAUUAUUUGUUUAACGCCCCUGCUUACUCCGACCGUUUUCUGUUUGUUUUCCCUCCGGUCUUCUCUCCAGUUGCCUCCCUUGUAUGUUCAUUUAGCGUUUGCCUUUUCUCUCCCCCUUGGGAGGUUCUAACGGUUUGCCUGUUCUGCCAUGCGCCAAAGCUCUCCUACCUGCUUUUUUCUCGCUUUUUCUUGAUCACUUCUGGUCACAUGCUCAUGUGGUUACUGUUUAUAGAGAUGGCUCUAAAUCUUCUGAUGGUGUUGGGUUUGCAGCGGUGUUCCCUGACGAUGUUGUCCAAGGUCGUUUGUUAGACUCGGCUAGUAUUUUUACUGCCAAGUUGUAUGCUAUCCUCGUAGAGCUUCUCCCUAUUACAUAUAUGUCUCCUUCAACAUUUGUGAUCAUUUCAGAUUCCCUCAGUGCUUUACAAGCCAUUAAACAAUUUGAUUCCCCUCAUCCAUUGGUCCUUUGUAUUCAACUAUGGUUGCAUCGUGUGGCUAGCAAAAUUAUCAUUAUAAUCAAAGGGGGAAGCGCUAAAUCCGUAGGUUUAUAGAGCGCCUGUGGGGGAUGAAAGGUAUUCAGGAUUAAUUCAGCGGAACUGGAGCACAGAUCCAGUUCCCUAGAUCAAGAGCCCCUCACCAGCAUCAAGGAACUUUUCUUGAGGGGUGUGGCUAGCAAAAACAGGUAAUUUUCUGUUAGGUCCCUGGACAUGUUGACAUGCAGGGCAGUGAAUAAACAGAUGCUGCUGUGUGGUCAGUGGUACAUGGUCUUCCAGUUUCCUAUAGAGGUAUUCCGUUCAGAGAUUAUUUUCUGAUCAUCUCGUCCCGUCCUCGCGGCCAUUGGCAACAACUGCGGUUGGGCAUGCACCAUAACAAAUUGCACUCUAAACCACUUUUAGGUUUGUGGCCAUCUUCUUCCCACCGUUGCUGUACUCAGAAGACUGUGCUCUCCCAUCUCUACAUUGGCCAUACUCGCCUUACUCAUGGGUAUCUCAUGGAACGCCACCCUAUUCCUCUCUGUGAGGUUUGUCAGGUCCCUAUUUCGGUUCUUCAUUUUCUUGAAGAUUGCCUGGUUUACCAGCAAGCUUGCAGGAUUUACCUCCAACACCUCUGCCCUACCACUCUUUAUCUUAUCUUCCCUUCUUGCAGACGACCCUACCCUUGAUUUACAAUCACUUUUUGACUGUCAGCAACUGAUUUACUGUAUGAACUUUGACACAUACCCCUUAGUGUCUCUAGCAGUCCUUUUCUCUCCUCACUUCUGAUCCCCUCUCCACCUAGCUGUUUAUAGCCCCAGCACUAUUUAUUUUCUGCCCCCCAGAGCUGUAUGACCCUUGUCAUUAUUAUUAUUAUUAUUAUAAUCAAGGGGGAAGCGCUAAACCCGGAGGAUUAUACAGCGCCUGGGGGGGGGGAUGUGGAAGGCAUUCAGGCUUAAUUCGGGGAACUGGAGCACAGAUCCAAUUCCCUAAAUCAAGAGCCCCUCACCAACAUCAAGGAACCUUCCUUGAGGGGUGACCCUUGUCAGUUUAGCGCUUUCUCUGAUUAUAACAAUUUUAGGUUUGUGGCCAUCUUCUUACCACUGUUGCCAUAGUUGGGAGACUGUGAUCUUCCGUUUCCGCAUCGGCCAUACCCACCUUACCCGUGGGUAUCUCGUGGAACAUCCUAUUCCUCUCUGAGGUUUGCCAGGUCUCUAUCUCGGUUCUUCACUUUCUUGUGGAUUGCCCGGUUACCAACGAGCUCGUGGUACUUACCCCCGAUGACACCACUGCCCUACCGCUCUUACCUUAUCUUCCCUUCUUGCAGACAGCCCUACCUUUGAUUUACAGUCACUUUUUGACUUUGUCAGCAACUAAUUUACUGUAUAAACUUUGACACAUAACCCUUAGCAUCCCUUCCAGUCCUUUUCUCCCCUCACCUCUGAUCCCCUCUCCAUCUAGCUGUUUAUAGCCCCGGCUCUACCAUGCAGCGCUGCAUGACCCUUGUUGGUUUAGUGCUUUCUUUGAUUAUAAUAAUAAUGUACUUUCAUUUAAGGACAACUCCAACUGGACAUAAAUUCACAUUAAAGAAGUAAAUAUCAGUUCAUGGUUUAAUGAGACAUUAAGUGUCCCUUGUGGCCAUGAGGUAUCUCAAGCCUCUCCCCUACAUUAACAAGUAGAACUGACAUUUACUUGUCCCUCUACCCAUCUGUCACUAUAUUAUUAUAAUCAAAACUAAGUGCUAAACCCACCAGGGUCAUACAGUGCUGCAUGGUAGGGUGUGUGAACUGUGUAAUGUGCUGAUCUGCAACUAGCAAGGGUGGAGAGUAUAACGGAGGUAGUUUGUAAGGGCAGUGAGGAGUGCUAAAGGAAGAAUCAUCAAAGUUUGUUUAAUAAAUCUGUUGCUAGCAAAAAGUCACAGGGAGUGUGUCAGAGGUGUUAGUGGUGAUGUCAGAGAUAAAUUCUGCAUGCUCACUGAUAUACAAAACAGUCCAAUAGAAUGCAGCAAACUGAAAUUGGACCCUGACAAUUUGCUUAGUUGCCACUGUAAAAGAGUGAGAUUUUUCUCUUUCUGCUGUAUAGCCCUUGUGGCUUAGCACUUCUUUUUGAUUAUAAUAAUAAUAAUUCUCUCUGUGCUCUGCUGAUCAAAAUAUACAAAUCAACUAUUCUCCUGUUUUUGUCUACACGAGUUUCCUUCUACCAUUGACUAAUGUUCAUGACACUGAUGCUCUGUUAUUUACAGUGCCUACUGUAUAUAUUUAUAAUCAUGAACUGCAGACUAAUGGGAUAUGCAAAUGAUCUAGGCUAUUAAACUAUGCUAAGACCCCAAACUUGUCACAAGAUGAACAGUGUUCAGCAGCAGCAACCAUAAAUAACCCUAGACUGCAGAUUUGAUGAUGAUGCAAUCUAUUUUGGUCUCAUCUUUAACCAUAGAUAUUAAUUUAUCUUCCAUUCUUUUCUCUAGUCCAAGUAAAAAUCACCUGUAACGAGAGAUUUCCUUCAUUCAUACAAUGUACUG